rnacentral:rRNA from 1 species
UGAACCAGCAACGCCGCGUGAGGGAUGAGGGCCCUCGGGUCGUAAACCUCUGUCGGGAGGGAAGAAAGGAUUCCGGGCUAAUACCCCGGGGUACUGACGGUACCUUCAAAGGAAGCGCCGGCUAACUCCGUGCCAGCAGCCGCGGUAAUACGGAGGGCGCGAGCGUUGUUCGGAAUCAUUGGGCGUAAAGCGCGUGUAGGCGGCUGGGCAAGUCGGAUGUGAAAGCCCGGGGCUCAACCCCGGAAUUGCAUUCGAAACUGCCUGGCUCGAGUCUCGGAGAGGAGGGCGGAAUUCCCGGUGUAGAGGUGAAAUUCGUAGAUAUCGGGAGGAACACCAGUGGCGAAGGCGGCCCUCUGGACGAUGACUGACGCUGAGAUGCGAAAGCGUGGGGAGCAAACAGGAUUAGAUACCCUGGUAGUCCACGCCGUAAACGUUGGGUGCUAGGUGUCGCGGGUAUUGACCCCUGCGGUGCCGGCGUUAACGCAUUUAGCACCCCGCCUGGGGAGUACGGUCGCAAGACUA